GACAGAGGGUGCAAGCGUUGUUCGGAAUUACUGGGCGUAAAGCGUGUGUAGGCGGCCACGUAAGUCGGAUGUGAAAGCCCCGGGCUCAACCCGGGAAGUGCACUCGAUACUGCGUGGCUUGAGUACUGGAGAGGUUGGUGGAAUUCUCGGUGUAGAGGUGAAAUUCGUAGAUAUCGAGAGGAACACCGGUGGCGAAGGCGGCCAACUGGACAGAUACUGACGCUGAGACACGAAAGCGUGGGGAGCAAACAGG
rnacentral:rRNA from 1 species